GGUGUAGAUGCACUCUUUGACUUUGGAAUUUUCAAAAUGGCUGCCGCUCGCCUGGCAAUGGGGGAAGGGUGCCAUCCGCUAUUGCUAGCAAUGGCAAAUCUAGUUAUGUCACCCGAUCGACAAUGUCGGGUGACAUAUUGCUUUUCCUCUGUUUCUUUUUUUUAUUAUGUCACCCGAUCGACAAUGUCGGGUGACAUAUUGCUUUUCCUCUGUUUCUUUUUCCGUAUUAUUAUUAUUAUUUUUUCUUCCACCUAAUUUUGUCCGGCAGUUUUUUUGGAGCCAAAGGAACCAAUCUGAAUGAUGGUGCACUAUAACAAGGAACCCUGACUUUCCAGUUGCAGUGCAACUUUGGAACUAAAAAAUGGCUGCCAUCACCAUGGAAACGGAAAAAUGGUGAAAAAAUAUAAUUUUGGAGUUAGGUGAAUUGUUUGAGAAUGCUUAAGCUUAAAAUCUUUAGAUUUUAAUACAAUGUAGGUGCCCACUAUAUACUGCUUUGGGAUGAUUUUGGCAAUCAUUGGAACUGCUAUGUUGCCAUGGAUACUAC
rnacentral:lncRNA from 1 species